GGAAGUCCAGAGGAUGGCUGGGAGUACCGAGAGAGGACGGAGGGAGAAAGACAGGAGUGGAUAGGAGCGAGUCGGACCAAAAGAUUGAAAGAAAGAGAGGAAUUUUAGAAACAACGGACCACUCCAAAAGUUUAUUCCUCAAGGGUCCCAUCAACCCUUAUAUGGCCAGUGGGGUCCCUCCCUCUCCUUUCUCCCUCUCUCCUUCCUUCUCUGACUCCUCAUUCCCUCUUUUUUGCUAUGCCUUCCAUGAAUGUCCUGCCAGAUAGCCGGCUGCGGGAGCGAAUGUGCCACGUCAAAGGCUGGAUACUGCAAACCAACGCGGACGACGGGGCCGGGGACGAGACGGAACUGAAAAAGUCGAGAACGGGCUCUAGGAGGCUGGAUGGUGUUUGGACAAAGUCUUACAAUUUUCCACCCAGGAAUGUGUAUGGCCCCAAUGAGACUGCCAACCACAGAGACAGAAUGAAAUGAAGAGAAAGUGAAGAAGAUAGACAGGGAAAGAGAUUGAAAACAGUGUGAUAUGAAGUCAAAUGUUCCCAUUUUAAUUUUAAUGUCAAAUUUCAAAUUCUGGAAUGGAAUAUACUCCAGGCAAACUUUAGAGGGAUCAUGCACACACUCGUAUUGAAAAGAAAUUAGGCAAUAAUGGAUUCAGCAGAACAUAAGAAACUGUGAAGUCAGCCAACUUCUUAAGUCUAAUAUUUAAAAACUUGUGUAAAAUUCAAUGUUAAUGGAAAGCCAAUAAUUUUAAUAUUAUUUGUUCAGAUCUGAAUAUUUUGAGUCUAACGGUGUGUGACUUUCAGAAAAAUAUAACCAUGUUCAUGCAAAUUCCUCUGUUUGAAGCGCCGCACGGGUUUUGAGUUUCAGUAUUCAUUAAAAUUAGUGUUUGCUUAUAUAGUCGCAUGCAUUUGGCAGUCGGGACGACCGGUGAGCGUUAGUGUGUCUGCGUCUGUGUGUGUUUAAGAUUCUAUGUAUAUCAAUAACCAUGUGUGUCUGAGUGUGUGUGUGUGUGUGUGUGUGUUUGUGUGUUAGUUUGACUUGGGGGGCUUCCAGCUAUGUCAGGGUGAUCCAGACCAAAUGCCUUAAUUCCCAAUGGACAGAGAGAGACGGUGGGGGUAUAAGGAAAAGGGAGCAAGUAAAAUAGCAGCUAAGAAAGAAAAAGAAGGAUUCAACAAAACGAGAAAUGACCGACUGAGUGAAAAAUAAGUGGAUAUAACAGUUUCAUAAUCUAGUAAUAAAAGUUUCUGCAUUUAAAUUACUAUUCUGGUUAAGAGUAUUGUACGUUUUCAGUGUCAUUUUUACUUUUUGUAGCUUUUUUGUAUGUUAAAUGCAAUGAUGUGAAAAGAAAUAUUUAGAAGACAUGUAGAAGCCCUUUAUGCUUGUAUUCAAGUAAUAUAUUAUCUUUGUCCUCUCUCUUGCCCCUUUGCUUCCGGCUUCCGGUCGGGAGAAGCAGGCUGCGCUGCCAAUGACUGAGAGCGUUGUCUGUCUGCCUGUCUACACUUGCUGUGCAGAACUUCCUGCACCUGUACAGCAGGCACAGACAGGCAGACAGAUGGCAGCCCGCCUGACAGGCCACACAGUGUGACUGACACAGAGACCAGCCAAUCAGUUCCACCACAACCUGGCAGGGAACUUUAAGCGCACCACUGACAACUGUAUUUUACCAUGAUCAUCAUAAAGUCAUCAAAUGAAUGAACAACA